UAUACUUUUAUAUUAUUGAUAUAUCUGCGUGUAUAUAUAUAUGUAUAUAUAUAGAUAUAUAAUAUAUAAACUUUUAUUUAAAUUCAUUUACUUACAUCUAAUAAAACUAUAUAUUUAUCAUACGGUUACAUUGUCACAUUUGAAAAGUACUUGUCUAGAGCAUAGGGAUGUUGGCGUUUCACAGAUUCGUUUCAGAGCGGAAAGAACACUAGUGCGCCUACGUCACUUCCUACUGACUCAGUUCGUCCAUAAACGCCGACGCUCCUUUCAUAGAGACUUCCUUUCUUUUUCUCCUUUUCCCUUUUUUUUUUCUUUUUCUUUUUAACCCCUGGAUAUAGAGACUUUUUAUAUUCUCGCGUCGCGCGACGAAAGGCGCUAAUGCAAAGACGAUGCAUCGCCGCGCAAGCGUGCGAUUAACGUUGAUCAUUUUAUACCCUACAUCGAUUAUACGACAGCGAGAAACAUAAUGAGAAACAAAAAAACCUGUCUCCUACUAUAUACUUAGUCCCCCUAGUCUCUAAAUGAGAAAGCUAGUCGUCAACGCGUACGUGACGUACACACCUCUCAAACUUACUGUCGUUUCGCAGUUAUCUACGAGCCUAUUUGCGCGAACCCGAACUAUACGGUUUUACUUGGGAAAGUAAAAUUUCAGUCAUAAGAGAGAGAAGAUGAUAUAUAGCCGAGCUAGUAUCCGAGAGCUCACUCCUCAAUCGAUUCGUUACUUCCCGUAUAGCGGCUAGUAAUCAUUAUCAUUCCGUCAAUCACACUUUGUGUGUGUGUGUGUAUGUGACGAGAGAAUAUUCGUUUAUAGAGAGUGUCGGAAUUAGUCGAAAAAAAGCGUAUAUCCCUUGAGCAUUGAUAAUCUUUGUCCGUCAUUUUGUAUUUCGCGUCUUGGCGGAAAAGCGCUCGAUCACAUUAUAUAAUCUUCACAAUUGUUGCAUAAGCCAUGUUAUGGAGUUUCAACGUCCGACUGACGUCUCUCGAGUGCAAAGGGUUGAAAUAAUACUUAUUUGUAAAACGCGACAUCAAUAGUGUCAACAUGUGUUCUAUAUCUAUUAUAAAAAAUAAUGAGUUAUUUCUAAUUUAUGCGAGAAUUAUUUGACGAAAAGCAUUCGUAAAGUACGUAAACGAGUGCGAAACUCGACGACGAUGCAAAACACAUUGCACUUUUCGGGUGAUUUAUGUAUAAUAGUAAAAAAAAAAAAAAAAAAAAAAAAAGCAGGAGGCACACUAUUUCUAGAAAACGACAAAGAAGCAUCUUCGAGAUACUUUACGAUACGCCCGACGAUAGAGAACACUAAACGGAAUUUGUUUCACGAAGAAGAAGAAGAAGAAGAAGAAUCGCACAUUCGGGGCAUAUUCGGGGUCUUAAGGCCACUUCGUCGAUCUAAUAUCCUAUGUGAAAGAUCGCGUGAGGGACGAGUUUGCCGCGCGAAAUCUCACAAUUGCAUUAUAGUACGUAUGCGUGCAUGCAAGCUCAUCGCGCGCACGCAUAUGUACGUGUGUAUCUUUUCCGAUUGGAGACGGGAAAAAGUAUAUGAAACGAAAACUUGGAAAAGAGGUACAAUUAAUUUUUACUAUCUCCUAGGAAUUUGUUUCUGUGAAUGCGCAAUCACGUGGUCAGCAAAUGCAAAUGUGGACUUUCUUCUCACACCAUUUCGACUUUUUUUCUUUCUCUCUCGUUUUCUUUCACUCUUUCGUUUCUCACACAUUCUCUCUUUCUCUCACUCUCUGUAUUCUUCUCAUACGGAUAAAAAUAUUAAGGCAAAAUAUUCAUAACUUACACAUAAAGGACGUUUGAUUAUGUUCGUUAGAUGUCUCUCUCGUUUAAGAGUUACAGUUGUUAUUAAAAAUACUCGCCACUUUAGUUUACCAUUAUGAGAUUAGUAACUUAGCGCCUAAGUGUUAGCCUUAUCGUUACUUAAAUAACGUUCACGCCUUAAAAAAGUCAUUGGAUUGAAUGCGUUAGCUUGUCAGUUAUCAAGCUUCGCAAAUUUCUUUUUGUUCUUUUCUUUUUUUUCUUCCAUUUUCUUCUUCACUCUCGCACCUUCCUACGUACUAUGUGCCUUCGUGCUCUUCGUCUAUCAUCGUUCAUCGCGAAUACCGUAAAGCUCCUCGAAACGCGAUUAACGCGAUUAAAUUAAAAUCCGGAUUAAAUAAAACCGCGUUACUCAAUUGAUAUUCAGUUCUGCACCGUAUGCACUGGCAUUUUUUAUUACUAGCGUAACGUGGAAAAAAAAAUGAAUUGAAAUGCAAGUCUCAUCUCCAUUUAUAUACCGAGCAAAAUUCGACUUUUGUCUAUCUAAAAUUGCAAUCGCAACUCUGUUUGAUCGUGCUGCUUUUGUGGCUCGUUUGACUCCGUCGCGUUAUUUUCCGCGUUCUAUGGUUAACCUUUGUUGACCCUGUACACUCGAGGUGGCUCAGUCGACCGGGGAAAUUCAGGGCGACGUGUUCGUCGAGAGCGAGAAAGCUUUCACCGUCACCCACGCGAAGCACGACGUGGAUUCGAGUCAAAAGCAGCUCGAAAUUCCUUCGAGCAAGAGAAAUAAUUUUUCGCCGUAAUAACCCUUCCGUUCACGGUGUCACGUACAGAUCCACGGAAUCCGCAAGGAUGGGUAUUAUUCAUAUUUUCCGUGUACGUGUAUGCGAACACCCAUGCAAAUUCUGGUCGAUAAAUAAUAUCGGAAAGAAUGUUCAGCACAAUAUAAUUUGUACAUACUGAUGUAUAUAAAAAUGUUGCAUGGUGCAUUGCACUGCGUUUCAGAAAAUGAGAUAUGUUAAUAGCAUAUGUUCCUACUUUUAAUAUGUCAUGUUAUCCUGAAAAAUAAUAUUUGUGUUAAUUGUAACGCUGUUUUCAAGUCUGUAAUCGGUCCGGUUUUUUUUUUUUUUUUUUUGUUACAUAUUUGUAUUACUGAUUGAUAUUUACGAUUUUUGUAAAUUUUACUUUGUUUACUUUAUAUUCGAAUAAUGUUUUAUUAAUGUAGAAACGCGAUAAAAUUUUGCAUAUAUAAAAUAAAAAAGUACAAACAAAUAAUUGAUCAUUUUUUCUAUUUGAGUUCUGUACGGGUAUUUAAUUUAAAAAAAAUUGACUAGUAUAUAUAAUGAUUUUUUAAAAAACAUCCCAGAGUUUUUAAUCUUUUAAUCCAAUCAUCCUAUCGAUAAUCGACAACCUAGGUAAACGAUCAUCGAAAGAAGAGUAAAAUCUAAAGAAGAAAGAUUUCUGUGAGAUCUAAUCAGAUGUCAAAUACCAUUAUUAUACCAUUUUUUUUUUUUUAUAUGUAAUACCAUUAUAAUACCGUUAUAAUAACCAUGUCAAAUAUAGUUUUCGCUCGACACCUGUCGAGAUGUCAAUUUCAUACACGAUAGAAAUGCUCAUGGAAAUCAUUCCCGAGAUAUCAGAGAAUGAGCCGUCAAUAUCGGGCGUCUUUUAGUUAUAAUUUCGAUAAUUCGUAAUUAUUCAUGUUUUAAUAUGUCAAUCUCGCUCCGAAUCAACGAGAACACUUGAAAUUCACGAUAAUUCUUAUAUUUAAUAAAUCGAGAUUAAGUCAAUCGUGUCGAUAAUGUUUAUGAAGAAACGAAUGAUAUUAUUACGGAAACUUAAUCGGUAAGUAAAGUCAAGAUCGACUGUAUAUACGUUAUCACAAAGCACUUUCCCGUUUCUCAACGCUUUUCGCGAUGUUCAAGAUACGCGAACACAUCGCGUCUCUCAUCUUUUUAGAAGAAUGUUUUUUUUUCUCUUUUUCUUUUUUUUAUUUUCCUUAGAAGAAGCACCGACUAGGUAGAGCGAUAUUACGUUCUCGAACUUCACCGUCUAGAGAUUAGAAUACGAUCGAAAAAUAUGUGCGAAUUGAUAUUGAGAUUUUUUUAUAUUAUUGAUCCCUCGUAAGUGCGCUCGCGAUCGAUCUUACGAAGUCGCCGGCCAUUUAUAAUUCGGUCGUCGCGAUUUUUCUACGUCUUGAAAAAAGGACGCUCGAUUUAAUCCUUCGAAGAGCAAUGAUUAAUAUCGAGCGAGUUGGAGAGAGCCGACAAACUCUUUCAGGUCACAGUCGAAAAGAACGCGAUUUACAGUCCCGUGGCUAUCGAUUGGUAUUGGACAGUAUUUAUAUCGCGUAUGUGUGAUAAAUACAGUGGUACACGUCCCAUACCCGCCAAGAUAAUACUUUAAUAUGAGAUACAAAAAUUCAAUCAGGUAUUUUUCCAUCCAUUCGAUAAUUAGAUUCUUUCAUCUACUUCUGCCAAAAAUUUCGUUUCUAUACUGCGCGAAUUAAUGUAGCAAAGCUUAAAUCUAAUCGCAGAUAAACCCUAGGAGAGUACAGAAUACAGAAAUACACCGCUAUAUCUCCGUGCUUGUCACGUGUAUAUUGCACAUUUAUCGUCGUUAUAUCGUUAUAGACAAUGCUGCUUAUAAUCGGUUCCAAUACAUUAUCGUACGAAUCACAAGGAAAUGAGGACUAAAGGCCUAAAAUAGUUUCGUGUAAUCACUAGAAAUCAAGACUGUCACGGAUUCAACUUAUCGUCACGCUCAAUUAAUCCUUAAUCGGCAUGAACUUAUAAGAAUCUACUUAGCGCAAUUAAUCAAAAAUUGAUCACGCUGUUGGUGUGUGGGAAAAUGCAUUUUUCAUUUAAUUUUCUUCGUGAGAUCUUCGAAAUUUCAUGUCCAAUACUCUUUACGUUAUCAGCAUACUGGAGAGAGAAGUGCCUUCGCGCAGCAUCAGUUAAAGAUUAAAUAGUUAAUUAACAGCGAGGAACGAGAGAAGAGAUGACUGGAAACAAGAGACUCCUGUCCCUCUCUCUACAUAAAGGCGACAAUAUCGGGUCGACUCCUUCACGAUCGAACGCGCAUAGAGACGCUCGAUAUCCCUCUCGAGGCUUUCGUCUCGAGGUCGCAAGAACACAGAGAGAAUCGCCGAGCGAAAUUUGUACAGACCAGCGACGAGAGAGAGUGGCUAUUACUAGAUGAAAACCCUGCGAAAAGCUGCGAACGGUACUCGCGAAAAUCGAUGACUAGGUGUGUGUAUCCGCGACUUUGUUCGCGAUCGGAACGCGAGCGUGGUCAGUCUCGAUAUUCCGGAGACACGUUCACACAAAUUUUCUCCUCCCUUUCAUCCAUGUGAUCACCCCUCCCCUUCAGUCUUGCUAGAUCGUCCAUUAAUCUGGGAUGCCUCUUAGACAGUUGUGUGUGGCACUUAGUAGAGACAGUCUUCUACGACUUUUUUAAAAUAAACGGAGCUAACGUACAAGGAGAGGGAGUUAUCCAGAAGAGCGCGAGCGAAACCAAGCAAAGUCCUUCAAGAUAUAAUCACUUCGCGCUGCGGAUGUUGCCUUUCGAGAGAUUCUCGGCUGCAAAACCGAAAAAUUAACCGUCUAUAACCCGGACGACUUCUGGAAAAGAUGAACUCCCCCUAUAUAUUUUCAUAUUGUAUGGAAAAUUCUCUACAUACAUAUAUAUCAUAAGUUUAUAAAUAUUAUUAAGUUUUAUUACGUUUUUUAGUUUAAUUACAGCAAUACAUUACGGUAUCACUAAUUUUUCCGUUACAAGUAUCGUUUACACUGAUAUCAGGGUUAUAGAAGGUUAAUCAUUGAGCGUGCCUGCUGAAUCCUGGCGGUUGCAUUAUCCUAAAAAUAGUCUGCUUACUUUCUAUAAAAGUAUUAUUUGUGCUCUAUCGAUGAACUCAAGAGAUCGCUCUCUCUUGAAUCGAAUACGUCGACAAAAUAAAGAUGUAGUAAUCGUCGAGCGCAUCUUACAGGCAAAACCCGUCAUUUUGAGGAGGCUGAUCCCGUUUCGUAAGAAAAUAAGCAAAAUUGUGGCUUUUUAUACAGCGCUUCGGAGAUAGGCAAAGCGUUGUUCCGAGAAAAAAGAAUAAUGAAGAAACUCUCGCUAAUCUAUAAUUUAUCCUAAACUAGAGCUGGUUUUUUGUACUUAACGAUUACGAGAGCUUAAAUAGCGCCAUUUCAAGUAAUAGCAAAGUGAAAAUAGUGCUUGCAUAUACCGGAAACGCGAGCGAAUCACGGCGAUGUAAGUAUAGCGGCAAUAAUUAGCAAUAGUAAUGAUGGCGUAGAAGAGCAGCAGAAUAGUUUAGUAAUAACCGUAUAAUAGUAAUAAUAACAAUAUAGUAUAACGGUAGUAAUAUUAUUAGUACGGAUAAUAAAGAGUAAUGGUGAUAUAGUUUAGUAACACAGCAGCGACAGUGUAAUACCAAUAGUAUUAGCAAUGAUAGUAAUAGUACAGCGUGUCGUGUGUUAAUAAAAAAUAAUGACCAUAGUAGCAACGUUUCAAUUCCGUAAUGAAUGUCUUUCACGGUAGAUUUUGAGAUUACGGGAUAUGAACACAGAAAUUCAUGGAAAUAUACAAAGUAAAUACCCUAUUUUGAUAUUUUAUCCGAUAUGCUCGAAAUUAUUUUACAGAAAUCUCCUACAUGUGCAAAAUAUAUUUCUGCGUGUUGUUUUUCUGACUUUCAUGUUUUAAAAAUGCAUUGUUUUAGUAUGACACAAUUUUCAAAACAAUAUUUAUAUCAUAUAUUAUACUUUUAAGCUAUUUAAAGAAUUAAAUUUGAAAUAAUCCCGAGAUAUAUAAUUAAAACAUUAUCUAUACAUAUAAGAUAUCACCGAUAACUUGAAAAAAAAAAGAGAAUGCGUUGCAAUUGAUGGUCAAAUAUUUUGCCAAAGUACUACAUGAAAAAAAAAGAUAGAAAAAAAUAAGUAAAAUCGUGAAUAUCAAGAGCAGCCAUUGACGUAUAGAAAGACUAUUAUAAAUGGUGUUGACUUCGAUCAAUGAUAAUUCGAUAACAAUCGUAGCGCAUUACGGGCAGACAAAUUUAUUGCGCGAUAUUACGGACCAUCGUAUGAGAGUUAUACUUCGUCCAAGACAUGUAUCUCGUCGAGAUGUAAAUUGUGCGCGUGUGCAGCACGCGCGGACGUCACUUCCGGACCAUUAUUGUCGGUAACGGUAUUAGAUCGUAAUUCACCUUCUUUUUCUCGAGAUCCAGGACGCGCAAAUUGGCAAGACUUCGGUUUAAUUAAUUGGCGUCGAUCGGCGUGUUCGCGUUUAAUAAAUUCGAUCAGUCGCGCGCGAUAUUGCCUCCGAAGCGGAUUGUGUCAAUUUUCGGAAAGUAAUCACCGUUAGAGGUUUACGUUAAAUUACAUAUAGACAGCCAUUAGAUUACAUAAAGUGCUAAAUUAGACAGCCAUUAUUGCUAACAUUAUUAUUAUUACUAUAAUAAUACUUAUUAUUUAGUAUUAGUGUUAUUAUUAUAUUUAUUACUGAGGAUCAAUAGACGUUUUCGAUCGACGAACUCUCGAGAUUAUCUUAACGAUUUAAUAGAUACACAACGAGACCGCCUUGAUAACGUUUACGGGCACUUACAGAUUGCAUCGAGAUUGUUAUUACGGAACACAAAGUAUAAUUAUCGAAGACAGUAAAUAAUUAUACUAAUAAGCGAUAAACUAACUAGAAUUGAUGCGAUUAGUAUUGUUAUUGAUAUCAUAAAAUAUAGAGUCGCGCGUAUAUUCGUCGAUCUCACCAACGCGAUGUAGUCGAAUAAAUAAGUAAAUAGUAGAAAUAUAUAUAUAUCAAUAAGUGUAUUUCAGUAUGCACAGGAAAUUCUCGUUUUUUUUUUUUAAUACGAAGCGUGUUAUCGCUUUUAUAAGCGUUCAAUCUUAUCGUUUCACAUUUUAUUCAAUGUCACAUUAGAACAUUAUCAAUUUUCCCUUCGCGCGAAGCUACAAACUUAAAAAUCUUAUCUAAAAACAAGGAAAUCAAUAAUAAUAAAGUGAAAUACGUUAUAACGCGCGCGGUAACGGUAGAAUGAUAAUACACUGAAUCGUUCCACUAUCGUCAAACAUCUUAUUGCAUUGAAGAUAAAGCCUCGCUUAUAUACUGAGCUUGAAAUAAAAAUUAAUUAGAAUUCAAUCAUAUUUAAAUUGGCAAUUAUUAAAUGUUACUUUUAGGUAAAUGUUGUUUCUUAGGUCGAUAGAGAUAUGAAUGUUUUUUUACCGUAUGAUUAUUUUAAAAUGUACCAUUUCCUUACAUAAUUUGUAAAAACAAGAUAUCAGGCAUUUUUUCUAAGCUGUUUAUAAAAAUAAAAGUUGAGUGCAAAUUGUCAAUGAAAACGCAGAAUAAAUAAAAUCACAUAUGAAUUUAUAGCUUAAUAUCGAGAAACAGGAAUCUUUUAUCAUAAUUUUAAUCAAUUCACUCGAAGAAUUUGAAUCUCCGAACGGAAGUCUUAAAAAUAAUUCAAAGACGUCGAGAAUCAAAAAUAAAAUUUUGUCUUUUCUUAUAUCUUAAUAUCGAAACAGGUCAUUAGUUCUCAGUCAAGGGAGAUUACUCGCACUUUCAAGAGAAGGAAUCUUAAAAAUAAUUUAAAAUCGCGAGGUAAAAGUAACAUUUUGUUAAAAAGAGUAUUCUUACGAAAAAUAAGAUGCCCCCAAAUAAAUACAUAAAUAUUUUCCGAUUAUUAUCGUUAAAAUUGAUUAAUCGCUAUAUAGAACCUACCACGAUCUUAAUAUAUUUUCAGUUGAUAGUUUUAAUUUAAUAUCACGUCACAUUUUAAUACGUAUCGCUUGAAUUUUGGUUUCAUUUUUUCGGUCCUAUAUUUCGUUCGAAACGAAUAUCGUUCGAUAAGUCCUUCGAUAAAGCGCGAAACGUUACUUGAAAAGAAAGAUCAAUCGGAGCCACGCUCUGCGCAUUCUGUCGACGCAUUCUAAAUUUCGAUUUUUAAGGAACAGGAGUGAGAUAUUAACUAGCACGCAACAAAUAUCACCCCUCUCGUUCCGAGAAGACACACCGACGGCAUGUUCUCGAUAUAAGAACGAAUUGCGAGAGGAAAUCCCAGAUGAUCUAGGUCGCUGUAUCAACGAGGAUUAAAGUGCGGAGAAACGGAGAGAAUUAUAUCGAUAAUCAAGGCAGACUCGGCAGACGCGCGAUGGCGAAAAACUAUGACGACUAACAAAGCACUACAAACUACGAUAGAGCGAUAUUAUACGGUUACACACAGUAGAAAAAUAAGUAUGAACGCUUACGGACUAAGAUGGCAUGUGAUACACUUGUAAUUUUGCAGACUAUUCUCGUUUCCGGGAGCGACAGCCGUUUAAAUUCUUUUUCCUUUUCCUUUUCUUUUUGGGGGGAAUUAGGCUGAAGACACCACCCCCGGUUAAUACGAACGAAACGAGGUAAAGGCAGGAGAGUAAGGGGGACGGGCAAAGAGUACUGUCUCAAUCUACAGCGGAAAAAUCGUCCCCGAUGGUCGAUGACUAUGACGUGUUUCACUGGCGCGAUAAUGUUUCAAAGGAAUAAUCGAGGGAUUUCGCGUCGAUGCGCGAAACCCCGAAUGAGGCGCGUGAAAUCCCCGUUAAUGAAUGCUGGAUAUACAUAGAUUGCUGUAAAUAUACGUUUGUGUUGUACGAAAAGAUUUAUCGAGAUACUUAAUAAAACCCUUACCACCGGUUUCAGGUACAUCAAAACACAGCAGAAUGCAGCUAACUCUAGUAAAAACGACGUAAUAAAAAUUGAAUAGCAUAGUGCGUAAAAAAUGAAAUAAGCAGCAUCACAUCCGUAGAAGCGCGCUGCUGCAAUUAAGAGUAAAAUCUAAAAUUAACGUACUUAUUCGCGUGGGAAAGAGGGAUAGGGGAAAGGUGGAAGGUGCGCGAAUAAAAUAGUACUAUUUCGCGUAAAACGCGCACGUACUCAGGAUUAAUGCAAAAAUACAUAGCAGAAUGACUGAUUUCAUCGGCCGUCACAAAGCGUUUCGGCGCGUAUCGAAUGAAGUCUCAAGAACAGAAGAUGAAUGAAAAAUUGCAAGUAAUCCUGACUUGCGGUCAUAUGUGUGUCCCAAUAACAUCCACGAUCGUACGAUUAGAUAUCUCGAGAUAUCAAGAUGAUACUUCAUUCAGCGGUAUAUUAAACAUGAACACUAUAGAGCAUACACAGACGAGCGUUAAACUUACGCGAAUCACGGAUAUGUAUAACUAGAAUAAGAUUUGUAUAACUAAAGUGCGUUUAAGAUUAUAACUUACAUCCUUAUAGAUUUGAGAUUGAGUGGAACAGAAGAUCGCGCGCGCGAGAGCCCUUCUUUUACAACCUUCCACGCGAGAGCGUAGUACUUUUGCCCGACGAAUGAAAAGAAGAUUAGAAAGGGGGAGAAGGGAAGGGAGGGGGGAAGAACGAACGGAGAUAAAGUCUAUAGAAGACGCAUCCCUUUGGAUUUCACGAUAGUUCCCCGAAGAGUCUACUCUAAAACGCGAAAUCUUAUUGUACGCGCAUCUUCGAUUUCGCACAUUUUUGGUCGUUUUCCCUAUAACUCGCUUAUUUUUUUUUUUUUUUUUUUUUUUUUUUUUUUUUUUUUUUUUUUUUUUUUUUUUUCUUCUUUUGCAUUUUUCUCUUUUGUUGAUUUAUCCGCAAGACCUCCAAACACGUACACAUUCCCGAAUUAUCCCUUACGUAUGUAGAAUUUCUCCUUAAAUCUCUAUAUUAUAGAUACCUUAAGAACUACGCGAAAAAAAGGACAAACGCCAACUAUACUCGUUAGAAUGAACGUCUGUCUUAUCGGACAAGACACGAGAAUAUCACAUUGCAGAUGUAUAUGUAUGUGUAUGUGUGUGGGUUAUAUAUAUAUGUUAAUUCUUCCUUUUUUAACCUUAAUAACUUCGUGGCUUAAGAGCUAAGGAGUUCUUAUAUCGAGUUUUACACUUUACGACGACAAUGGGCGUGAGCAUACGAUGUGUGCGUAUAUACGUACAUACAUACGGAAUACCAAUCUUUUUCUUUUUCUUUCUUUAAUUUUUCAAUCAAGAUCGAUCACUUCGCAUUUUGAUAUUCAUCUCGAUAAUCGCAACGAGAAUAAAACGCAGCACGGAGAUUAUGCAACGAAGUGUACGAGGACGAAGAAUUGGAGCACCGGAUUUUUCAAUUUGACAGUUCGCACGCGUAUAUAUCUCCCGCUUUAAAGAUAUUAUUACUAUGUUGGUGUGUGUUAUAACUAUCGAGAGAAGAAUAAAUAAAGCUAGAAAAUUGUGGAGUUAUAUCGUAGACAUAAUAACAAUGUAUGCAAUUAAAUUAUAUUUAUUACAACGAAUUUAAGUCUUCGAAUUUUACUCUUUAUUGCCCUUUUAUUUUCUACUAGCAUUCUGUUAGAACACGUACUCCGAAUACCUAUCCACGUACGAAGCAUCUGGAAUAAUAUUUUACGCGCGUAUUCUUUUUUGCGAGAGUGAGAGAUCGCAGUGACUCUCUCUCUUUCUUUCUCUCUCUCUCUCUUUCUGAUUUUCUUUUUCAUUAUCCAAAUAAUAUAUCGAAGAUACCGGAAAAAAAUCGAUCCAUCGGUUAAUCGCGAUCUGUAAUUCUGUAAAUUUCUAUAGACUGGAUACUUCUGCGAUUUUCUUUGUGACAGACUUAUGAUAGACCGAGCGAUGGAUUCUCAUAUUUUCACUGAAAGAACGAUUUCGCGUUCUAUGUUUCUUUCUUAAUAUCCCUUGUCAGAGAUGACAGUUGUAAGCCAAAUUAUGGCUGUUUCGUGUACACGCAUGAAAAGAUAAAAUAAAAAAAAAGAAAACAAUAACUUAGUCUAAAGCGUUUAUUUUCUUUUAUAGACCAGAAGGAUAUGUAGGAUAUGUAGUUUUUGAACGACUUGUAAUGUCGAUCGUAUUUGGAUAUUGAUACAAGAGAACUGACUAUCAUUUUUCAAUUAUGAACGCUCAUCCCGCUGUACAAGAAAUUUUGUAUUAAUAACUUUUCUUCUUUUAAUACAUCCGCAGGAUAUUCAGUCUAUAAGACUCAACUUUAAUUACAAUAAUGGCAUACACGCUUCGCAAUAAAACUUCGUUUUGUGCGAGAGGAAUUGACUCUUAUGGAUAUUUUCUUUUGCGUGCGCCAGUGUAUGUGUGAGAUUAAAUAUCGCAUUACGUAAGAUUGAAUCAUUUCAAUAAACCGCAGAUUAAUUAGCUACCAUUGAUCCUUGAAGGAUCAAUAAAAGCUACUUUGGCCUAAUAAUAUUUCACUAGAAAUUAUUUCUCGAUAUCAUAUAUAAACAUAAAAGCCGAUAAAUAUUUUAUUAUUUGCAAAAUAUAAUUUAAAUAAAACGUAUUAUAAGCGUUUCUAAAGUAACUAUAACAAACAUAUUCUGAACGAGAUUAAUUUCUUUCUUUAUAUAGCUAAUUAAAGUUCAUUGUUUUAAAAUGCUUAAUAUCAAAGUCUUUGCAGCGGUGAUAUAACACUUUAUCCGAUUUUUAAUACAAUCAUUUUACGUGGACCCGUAAUACAGCCAAUUUUUUCUUUCCAAACUAUUUUAAAAUUUCCUCUGUUUCAAAUCAACCUGCUUUUCUUCCAAACAAAAUUCUUUUGCUAUACUGUUUCCCAUUAUUCACAGUCACACGACUAUCGCGUUAGUGAAUAAGUGACAAAACGCACGACAUUUUUAUUCUCUGCAUACAAAUAUCACUGAAAUAAGAAUCGUUAUGUUCAGAAAAAAUUUUCGAAUAAAGGAAAUAAUCGACGAGUUCGGAAUAGAGAAAAUCGAUUGUAUAUUAAAAUUGGCAUGUUACAACUAUUAAGAAUAUAUAAUAAAUAUAUAAUUCUCUCUCUCUCUUACAAGCUCGCACUUGAAAUCGGCACAAACUCGGUCCUAAUAUUUAUAUACGAUCCAUAUACACUACUGCCUAAUAACUGUUUAAUAGACAAAUAAUCCCGAUCUCGAAAAUGCUUGGUUCUAAAAUGUUAUUCCCACACAGUUAUUCGCAUACAAAAUAAAUAUCCAGAUUUAUAAUUUGUUUUUUUUUUUU